rnacentral:lncRNA from 1 species
AACAGCGAAAGCUUAAGUUAAAUGAGAUAGUUAAAGAGAAUUAAAAAGUUUAGAGUAGUUGUUGUUGUUCAAGAAGAACUGUAAAUUGAUAUUAUUGGUUUAUUGUCUUCGAAAAGUUUAUAAGACUUAGAAGAAGGAUAUUACAAAUACAAGAAAGCCUCCUUGGCCAGCGCGUGUCGCUGUGUCUGGUCAAGGAGGGCAACAAGCGUAAACAAGAUGAAGAUGGAGACAUACAUUUUUGUUCGCUCUUGCCCCCCAAGUAACAAUUGGGGGCUCAGGCGGGAAACCACUCUCUCGGAUAAGAGCGGUUGUUUUUGUUGUCAGUCUGAUGAUUGUCCUUUUGGUGUUAUAUUAUUGAUGGAUCUGUUUCCAGUUUUAAUGUCAUGCAGAUGAAAUUGUCGACUUAGCCAGAGGCUGAAGUACAAGAGUGCAACGCUGAAGGUUCACUACGUCUUCGUCAAAAGGUUCAUUCUGCUAAGAUUGUGCGAUUUGUGCCCAACGUCUACUCAGUGAUGCCUAACAGUGGGGAAAGAUUUUGUAUUGUUGACCACGUUUAGUGGUUUGAUACAGUGGUUUUUACACUGGUUUGUUAGUGGUUUGAUACAGUGGUUUUUACACUGGUUUGUUAGUGGUUUGUCACAGUGGUUUAUUGCCCUGUUUUGUUACAAAGUUGUAAUAAUUUGAUAAAUCUCCCGUAAGUUAAAGUAAUAAUUAUUAUUAAAGUACAAAAUGUUGUUUAAAUUUAAGAUUAAAAAGGGAGUUUGUAAUUUAGUUUGAAGAUGUAGUUCUUCUGUUGUUGAAUCUUCCCUAUUCUGUUAUACUGUUGCUAGAGUUUAAGGACGCUAUUCUUGCUGUAUCGAGUUUUCCCAAAUUUAAUUCCUUAUAGAGCAUUUUAAAGUAUAAUUAUAACAUUUAAAGAACAAUCAUUUGAUAUGGAUAUAAUGGAAGUUACGAACAGUUAACGAAAGACAAACUUUCUUUUUUUUCAAGAGGGUGAGUGUGACGUGAAGUCAGUCACGUCAUAAACAUUCUUAAUUACGACAUUACGUAAUUAUGCUGAGUCAUGGUUUUGCUAUAUUUAUCUUAUACGUAAUAUCUAAAAAUAGCGUUUAUGUAAUGUUCUAUAAAUAUCUAUUGGAUAGUAUAUAAACAGCGAAAGCUUAAGUUAAAUGAGAUAGUUAAAGAGAAUUAAAAAGUUUAGAGUAGUUGUUGUUGUUCAAGAAGAAUAAAUUGAUAUUAUUGGUUUAUUGUCGUCGAAAAGUUUAUAAGACUUAGAAGAAGGAUAUUACAAAUACAAGAAAGCCUCCUUGGCCAGCGCGUGUCGCUGUGUCUGGUCAAGGAGGGCAACGAGCGUAAACAAGAUGAAGAUGGAGACAUACAUUUUUGUUCGUUCUCGCCCGCGAACGUAACAAAUUAUCAUAAACACUUUCUUGACGACAAUGAAAAAGUAGAAAUAAAUUUUAUGCGCAUCAUGUUGCAUUUUUUACCCCCUUCAGGCCUAACAAAGUUUUAAACUAUAGAUAUUAUCCAGACUUUUUAUUGUUGCGAGCUUUCGUUUGUUUUGGUAGUUAUUCUACAAAUUGUCUGUUAUUUACAACCAUAAAAACAUGUGAUUUCGCCUACAUAUUUGAUUUACAGCACUUUAAAAGGCUCAAUUACCCUGGAUAACCCACAAUGCAUUGCGCUAUACAUGAAAUUCAAGAUGGCGUCGCUAUUGAUAAAUAUGUGAAUUCCGGGACGGCGGG